AGAAACAACAGAAUCUGUGACAUGCUUUUCAUAGCAACGUCUCAUUGCCUUGCUGAUUUCAUCUUCUCUCUUGGCAACCAUUGCCUGCAAUUGAGUGACAGAGAGAGAAUAGACGUUAAGCUGAACUUUACAUCUGAUCUCAGUUAUAGAAGUGUUUGAGGAGAGUGAAGGGCGUAAACAUGGAGAGUGUUCACUGCUUGAUCUUGCCACAGUCUUGGAAAUCAAAAAGAAACUCUGUGAGGCUAACUCUGUGAGCGAGAGACAUAUACCAGAUAGUCUCUUGGAGAGACUUAUCAGUGGUACUAUCGAAUUCCCACCAGCUUGUGCCAUUGUAGGUGGAAUAUUAGCACAGGAAGUGAUCAAAGCUGUAUCAGGGAAAGGAGACCCGGUAAAGAACUUCUUCUACUAUGAUGCUCAAGAUGGAAAAGUAAGAAAAAAUGGUAAAAAAGAGAGGAUUCACACGAGCGAUUGAAGCAGCAGAUGAGUGAGCUUGAAAGAGAAUGGGCCAGGCAAAAGCUCAUGUUCAUUAAAACCCUUGACAACAACUUAGCAACUUCUCUGUGCAAGAUUCUCCUCAACUUCUCAAGAAGGUUCCAGUCUGAGGCCGAGGGAAAGCCUGUUGAAAUCAA